rnacentral:rRNA from 1 species
GACGAACGCUGGCGGCGUGCUUAACACAUGCAAGUCGAGCGGAGCGGCGAACGGGUGAGUAACGCGUGAGUAACUGCCCCCCUCUCUGGGGUAACAGUUGGAAACGGCUGCUAAUACCGGAUAGUGGGGGAUGACUCGCGGCCUAUCAGCUUGUUGGUGGGGUAGUGGCCUACCAAGGCGACGAAGGGUAGCCGGCCUGUGAGGGCGACCGGCCACAUGGGGCUGCGAGACGGCCCAAACUCCUACGGGGGGCAGCAGGGGGGAAUAUUGCACAAUGGGGGAAACCCUGAGGCAGCAACGCGCGUGCGGGAUGACGGCCUGCGGGUUGUAAACCGCUUUCAGCCAUGACGCGGUAGUGGCAGAAGAAGCACCGGCUAACUACGUGCCAGCAGCCGCGGUAAUUC